rnacentral:ribozyme from 1 species
GCAGAGUGGAUGGGGGAUAACUUCCUCCAUUUAAUGCACAAAUCGGUCACAAGUCCGA